AAGUCGUAACAAGGUUUCCGUAGGUGAACCUGCGGAAGGAUCAUUACAGAGUUCAUGCCCUAACGGGUAGACCUCCCACCCUUGUGUAUUUAUACUUUGUUGCUUUGGCGAAUAGUGCGUCUGACGCACCUCAGCCCUCGGGCUGUGAGAUUCUCUUGUUCGCCAGAGGAUACCAAACUCAUAUUUAUUAGUGUCGUCUGAGUACUAUAUUAAUAGUUAAAACUUUCAACAACGGAUCUCUUGGUUCUG
rnacentral:misc_RNA from 1 species